UAGGGAAUCUUCGGCAAUGGACGGAAGUCUGACCGAGCAACGCCGCGUGAGUGAAGAAGGUUUUCGGAUCGUAAAGCUCUGUUGUAAGAGAAGAACGAGUGUGAGAGUGGAAAGUUCACACUGUGACGGUAUCUUACCAGAAAGGGACGGCUAACUACGUGCCAGCAGCCGCGGUAAUACGUAGGUCCCGAGCGUUGUCCGGAUUUAUUGGGCGUAAAGCGAGCGCAGGCGGUUAGAUAAGUCUGAAGUUAAAGGCUGUGGCUUAACCAUAGUACGCUUUGGAAACUGUUUAACUUGAGUGGCGAAGGGGAGAGUGGAAUUCCAUGUGUAGCGGUGAAAUGCGUAGAUAUAUGGAGGAACACCGGUGGCGAAAGCGGCUCUCUGGCUUGUAACUGACGCUGAGGCUCGAAAGCGUGGGGAGCAAACAGGAUUAGAUACCCUGGUAGUCCACGCCGUAAACGAUGAGUGCUAGGUGUUAGACCCUUUCCGGGGUUUAGUGCCGCAGCUAACGCAUUAAGCACUCCGCCUGGGGAGUACGACCGCAAGGUUG
rnacentral:rRNA from 1 species